rnacentral:rRNA from 1 species
UGGCUCAGAACGAACGCUGGCGGCGUGCUUAACACAUGCAAGUCGAGCGGAAAGGCCCUUCGGGGUACUCGAGCGGCGAACGGGUGAGUAACACGUGAGCAACCUGCCCUUAGCUCUGGGAUAGCUCCGGGAAACCGGAAUUAAUACCGGAUAUGACCACGGCCGACAUCUGCUGUGGUGGAAAGGAUUCCGGCUAAGGAUGGGCUCGCGGCCUAUCAGCUUGUUGGUGAGGUAACGGCCCACCAAGGCUACGACGGGUAGCCGGCCUGAGAGGGCGACCGGCCACACUGGGACUGAGACACGGCCCAGAGACCUACGGGAGGCAGCUGUGGG